rnacentral:sRNA from 1 species
ACAGAGAAUAAUCGGUGGAUUCAUACGC